rnacentral:lncRNA from 1 species
CUACUACGAUAGUUACUUAUAUUAUUGAUUCAUCGCGUUACCAUUAAACUUUAUGUCAGAUCGGAAUACAAAUCUUUUUGAAGAGGCUUGAAAAUUUAGUAAAGUAAACAAAAUGAAGCUGUCAUUCAUACUGGGUCUUGCCGUUUUUAGUCUUUUGGCUUCUACAGGAGCAUUGCCGGUGCCUCAAGCUCCAUUGGUUAUGGCAUUGGUCACCAAACCCGAAAUGGAUAUUCCAGAUAUUGAUCUCUGGGCCAGGACUUAAAAGGAUACUUUAGACUGCCUUCUGCACACUGUUUUUCGCCCUGAUUCGCUGCAUAUUUGGAAAAGAAUUUUUAAUUAAAACAAACAAUAUGUUACCCAAAUUGUUGCUGCUGCUUUUGGAGCGCCGAAAAGCUGUGCAAAAUUGCACAUAUUGGACAAGAGGCUGCGACGGGUUGUUGCUAAUGCAUUUACUUGGCUUAAUUAGUUGAGAUUCUACAUUAUUCAUACGCCACGUGUGACCAGCGGCCACCCACUCGCCUGCAAAUGCCCACCCGCCCAAUGUGCUGAUGCCUGCCGUCUCCUUCUUUUCCUGACAGCAUCAUAAUUUUCACUUAAUUAAAGUUGUCGUUGUUGAGGGUGCUGAGUUUGAGGUUUAGCCCGGGGAGCAGUUAGAGAGUUGUGGCGGUGCAUUCGGGUCGAAAGUUGGGCGGCGGGGGAAAAACACGGUAUUUGUACUCACAAGUUUUCGCUCUUAAUUUAAUCCAGUCUAACUACGAAAGUUUUCGAAUGCCUGGGUGGUAGUUUGAUCGCAAGAGCUGGUUAUUAAAAUAUCUUACGGUUUCGGAGGGAAUUUGAAUGCAUAUGAAAAGCACCUGGAAAUAUGCAAAUAUUUUCACUUAAAGAGAUUCAAUCCCUUCAAAAGCUUACCUACUAAAGUCGG